rnacentral:lncRNA from 1 species
GGGCUUUGUAUCCAGUCAGUUCUGCCUUCUCACACUUCUCUUCCCCUCCAUGCCAGGGGGCCUCACACCUGAUCCUCCCCAGCAGGUAGGUAGCUGCAAGGAGGAGCCAAGGGCUGCAGCGAGGGCAUGUAGCCCACCACAUCUCUGGGAAGUGGGCAAGCACAGUCGCUCCAGACAUUUCGGAGAAACCUAACUGGACCACGUGGGACCCAGGAAGUUCCAGUCACAUGCUGUAUGCUGGUGGUGACGCUGGCAGGCCCUGGGGUCUCAGAUACAGCUGGGUUUUUCUAUUUAGCCCAGGCCAGCCUCAAAUUUACAGCCUACCGACUGCUGGGAUUACGGGUGCGGGUGCGUGCUGCCUGGUCUGGGGUUCGCGUGGCUGGCAGAGCUUAGUGCUGUGUGGCCCCUUCCCCAGAGCGCCCCAGGCUCACUCUCUAUGCGAAGCUUCUUUUGUUCCAUGAUGUGCACCUCCUUCUUCAGUUGGUCCACGGACACCAGCUGCUCCUCGCGCUCAUGCGUGACCUGGACCAGUUCCUGCUGCAGGCGCAACCAGGUCAUCUGCGCCUCAGCCACUCCCGUGUUGUACUCUUCUGUCAGCUUCGACAGCCUUUUGAUCUCCAGUUCCAGGG